rnacentral:pre_miRNA from 1 species
UUAACUCAAAUUUGUAUGGAAUUGGAACGUUUGCCUAUAUCCGCCGCUAGGGGCGCUGUUCCCACUCCAUAAAAAUUUGAGUUA